CAAUAGCGUAUAUUGAAGUUGUUGCGGUUAAAAAGCUCGUCGUUGGAUUUCUGUUGAGGUCGAACAGUGCCGCCCUAUGGGUGAGCGUCUGGCUCGGCUUCGGCAUCUUCUUGGAGAGCGCAUCUGCACUUAACUGUGUGGAUCGUACUUCAAGUCAGUUACUUUGAGGAAUUGUGAGUGUUUCAAGCAGGCUUACGCCGUUGAAUCCGUUAGCAUGGAAUAAUAAUAUAGGAUCUUGGUUCUAUUUUGUUGGUUUCUAGGGCUAAGAUAAUGAUUAAUAGGGACAAUUGGGGGCAUUCGUAUUAACGCGUCAGAGGUGAAAUUCUUGGAUUGCGUUACGACGAACUACUGCGAAAGCAUUUGCCAAGGAUGUUUUCAUUGAUCAAGAACGAAAGUAAGGGGAUCGAAGACGAUCAGAUACCAU
rnacentral:rRNA from 1 species